rnacentral:rRNA from 1 species
GGCGCAGGCGGGAAGACAAGUUGGAAGUGAAAACCAUGGGCUCAACCCAUGAAUUGCUUUCAAAACUGUUUUUCUUGAGUAGUGCAGAGGUAGAUGGAAUUCCCGGUGUAGCGGUGGAAUGCGUAGAUAUCGGGAGGAACACCAGUGGCGAAGGCGGUCUACUGGGCACCAACUGACGCUGAGGCUCGAAAGCAUGGGUAGCAAACA